rnacentral:tRNA from 1 species
GGUAUGGCGCAGUUGGUUAGCGCGCCAGAUUGUGGUUCUGGAGACCGUGGGUUCGAGUCCCACUAUC